rnacentral:lncRNA from 1 species
ACUGCAGCAGCCGGCAGCCGGGUUGCCUUGCUUCCAGCAGCCAGACUGCUUCUCUGCCACCUUUCUUCCUGAUUUAUUUUAAACAUAAAAAAAAAAAGGGAAAAAGGGCACUCCACCACUGCAAAUUAUACAUUUAUUUGCAAGUGUUGAUUUCAACUAGCGAUGAGCCAUCUCUCCUGACACUUUUUCCCCUGCUGGAUUUUGGGCUCUGAUUUCUGAUGACAUAGUCUGGGUACCGCAGCCACUAGCCUCAGAAGGAGAAUUACAGAGGGAAUACCCGCGUAAAUUAUGUAUUGCCUUUUGCAUCAGUAGGAAAUGUUCAAAUUGUCAACUGGCGAGACUCCAGUGCUGUGGACAUGGGUUUGAAUGAGUUGAUCACCUAGGGGCUGUUCAGAAAGCCGUGCUCUGGUUGCCAUGGAGCCCUUCUGUCCGCUCCUGCUGGCCGGUGUUAGCCUGCCCCUCGCCAAGGCUUUCAAGGGCAACGAGACCACCACCGCGCAGAGCAACUGGACCUCCACGACCGCAGGUGUCCUUACAGGAAGCGGGACGGUUGUGUGACCUGGUGCCCACCAGAACGAAUGUGGAAGUCACCUGUUGCAGCCUCUGCAGGCUUGGCAGUGGCUUCUGGUCACUUCCAAGAGGGAAAUCAUCUGGCUCAGAGCCCCUGUUAUGUGAGUAGACGGGCUCCUGUGGCCUAGAAUUCCGGAGGACACCUGACCGACCCUGUGAGGUGCCCUUUGAAACUUCAUCUGUUCCCCAAAAGAAGGAUGAAGCAUCAUUUGGGAUGAUCACAGCGCUUUGCCAGUGUGUUCCAAAAUAACCGGAAAUCAUUUCAUUUGCUCACUGAACAAAAUGUAUUAAAUGGUCAUCAGGAGACAUUAUUUUACACACGUGGUUGGAGGUAAAUAUCUACAAAUUGUAGAGCAGAAUGUUAUUGUCCGGAUUAUAUGAAGAUUCCUAAACAUUAACAAGAAACAAAAAAAGACAGUAGGAAAACGGUAAAAAAUUUGACCGGGCAAAAUAUGAAUAUCUAAUUAAGUAUGUUUGUGAAUCAUGAAAAGGCGCCUAACCGUCUAGAAAUUAGGGAAAUGCAAAUUUAACUAGUAUUAUUUUACUUAUCAGAUUGACAGAAAUUCAAAGAAUUACUAAUAUCUGGGAGAGAUAGGCUCCAUCGUACACUCCAGGUGAGUGUAGAAGGUGGAAACAUUGGCAACUUGCAGUUUCGAUUACAGUUUAACGUGUGUGGACAGAAUACAAAGGGUCCACUUCCAGGAGCUCGCCUACAGAAACCCUUGUG